UCCGUAGGUGAACCUGCGGAAGGAUCAUUAUCGAAUAAAUCUGACAUGGUUGUAGCUGGCUCUUAGGAGCAUGUGCACACCUGUCACCUUUAUCUUUCCACCUGUGAACCCUUUGUAGUCCCAGGAUACAGUCGCGCACUUUGGUGUUGCGGAUGCGAAGGUUGUUGUGCCUCACCAGGUCAACUUCCAUCGAAUUUCCUGGGUCUAUGUCUCUUUUACACACCCCUGUAUGUUAAUAAGAAUGUUGAUUUCAAAGGCUUCGGCCUAUAGAAACUCAAUACAACUUUCAGCAACGGAUCUCUUGGCUCUCGCAUCGAUGAAGAACGCAGCGAAAUGCGAUAAGUAAUGUGAAUUGCAGAAUUCAGUGAAUCAUCGAACCUUUGAACGCACCUUGCGCUCCUUGGUAUUCCGAGGAGCAUGCCUGUUUGAGUGUCAUUAAAUUCUCAACCUCACCUGGUUUCUGACUUGUGUGAUGGCUUGGAUUUGGGAGUUGUGCAGGCUGUAGUUAUCUGCGGCUCUGCUCUCCUUAAAUGUAUUAGCAGGUCUUUUACCUCUAUCCAAACAGUGUGAUAAUCUAUCUACGCUGCUGGUUUGGAGACCCACUUGUGGGGGACUGGCUUCUAAUCGUCUGCAAAGACAACUUGACAUUCUUGACCUCAAAUCAGGUAGGACUACCCGCUGAACUUAAGCAUAUCAAUAAGCGGAGGA
rnacentral:rRNA from 1 species